rnacentral:rRNA from 1 species
CCGUAGCCUGGUAGCGGGGGAGUAACUAUUGGAAACGAUAGCUAAUACCGCAUGAAAUUGCUUAUCGCAUGAUAAUUAAAUUUGAAAGAUGCAAUUGCAUCACUACCAGAUGGACCUGCGUUGUAUUAGCUAGUUGGUGAGGUAACGGCUCACCAAGGCGACGAUACAUAGCCGACCUGAGAGGGUGAUCGGCCACACUGGGACUGAGACACGGCCCAG